rnacentral:rRNA from 1 species
UAGCAGAGGUCCCAAGCGUUGUUCGGAUUCACUGGGCGUAAAGGGUGCGCAGGUGGGUUUGCAAGUUCGAUGUGAAAGCCCCGGGCUUAACCCGGGAAUGGCAUUGGAUACUGCAGAUCUGGAGGAUCGGAGGGGGGACAUGGAAUUCUUGGUGUAGCAGUGAAAUGCGUAGAUAUCAAGAGGAACACCAGUGGCGAAGGCGAGUCCCUGGACGGUACCUGACACUGAGGCACGGAAAGCUAGGGGAGCAAACAGG